rnacentral:rRNA from 1 species
AUGGUGGACGCGGUCGGCGCGCGCCUGCCGACAUGGAAGGCCUGGCUGAUGACUAAAACCGGGCGCCUCGCGCUGCUCAAGUCAGUCUUGUGCGCCAUCCCAGUGCACCAACUGCUUGCAUUCGCGCCCCCAAAAAAGACCCUCAAGCAGAUCGAGAAGAUCCAGCGCGGUUUCCUCUGGGCUGGCCGUGCAGCUGCCAAUGGUGGACACUGCCAUGUGAACUGGAGCAGAGUGUGCCACCCCAUCGAGCUCGGGGGCCUUGGCGUGCGAGACCUUGAGCGGGCUGGCCUCGCCCUGAGACUACGCUGGCUAUGGUUUUCCAGAAUAGACCCGGAGCGAGCUUGGCAAGGGCUCGACCUCCAAUUUUCGCCCACGGAACGUGCCCUGUUCUGGGCAUCCACGUUCACGAUCCUUGGGAAUGGGCUGUCCGCCCUGCUCUGGGAGGACCGAUGGAUUGGCGGCCGAUACGUGCGCGAGCUCAUGCCCAACUUAUACGGCUGCAUACCCAAGCGACGACGAACGACGAGAACUGUGGCGGAUGGGCUCAAUGGCAACUCUUGGGCACGCGACAUACAAGGAAACCUAGGUCUCCACGAGAUUGGCCAGUAUCUGCAACUUUGGCAGAUCAUGCAGCGCACCGAGCUUUCCACCAUACCGGACAAGUUGAUUUGGCGCUGGACAGCGAGCGGCAACUACUCCGCGCAGUCCUGCUACACGGCGACCUUCCAUGGAGCAACGGCCUGCCACUCAUGGAAGCUGAUUUGGAAAUGCUGGGCGCCACCGCGAGUCAAGUUCUUCCACUGGUUGGCCAACCAGGACUGA